AUUGAACGCUGGCGGCAUGCCUUACACAUGCAAGUCGAACGGCAGCAUGAUCUAGCUUGCUAGAUUGAUGGCGAGUGGCGAACGGGUGAGUCAUACAUCGGAACGUGCCCUGUAGUGGGGGAUAACUAGUCGAAAGAUUAGCUAAUACCGCAUACGACCUGAGGGUGAAAGUGGGGGACCGCAAGGCCUCAUGCUAUAGGAGCGGCCGAUGUCUGAUUAGCUAGUUGGUGAGGUAAAGGCUCACCAAGGCGACGAUCAGUAGCUGGUCUGAGAGGACGAUCAGCCACACUGGAACUGAGACACGGCCCAGACUCCUACGGGAGGCAGCAGUGGGGAAUUUUGGACAAUGGGCGAAAGCCUGAUCCAGCAAUGCCGCGUGUGUGAAGAAGGCCUUCGGGUUGUAAAGCACUUUUGUCCGGAAAGAAAUGGCUCUGGUUAAUACCUGGGGUCGAUGACGGUACCGGAAGAAUAAGGACCGGCUAACUACGUG
rnacentral:rRNA from 1 species